rnacentral:rRNA from 1 species
CGGCAACAGCUCAAAUUUGAAAUCUGCCCGCAAGGGCCGAGUUGUAAUUUGUAGAGGAUGCUUUUGGUGCGGUGCCUUCCGAGUUCCCUGGAACGGGACGCCUUAGAGGGUGAGAGCCCCGUACGGUUGGACGCCUAGCCUCUGUAAAGCUCCUUC